rnacentral:tRNA from 1 species
GGUUAUAGCUCAGUGGUAGAGUGGUUGCCUAGUACAUGCAGGACCCUGUGUUCGAUCCUCAGCACCA